GCGACUGCUAUUGGGGUUCGACUUAACCAUGCGAGUCGCGCGGACUUCGGUCAGCGGCGCACGGCUCAGUAACACGUGGGUAACCUACUCUCAGGUCGGGAAUAACUCCGGGAAACUGGAGCUAAUACCCGAUAGAUACAGAAUUCUGGAAUGAGUUUGUAUCGAAAGUUCUGGCGCCUGAGAAUGGGCCCGCGGCUGAUUAGGUUGUUGGUGAGGUAACGGCCCACCAAGCCUUCGAUCGGUACGGGCAGUGAGAGCUGGAGCCCGGAGAUGGGGACUGAGACAAGGCCCCAGGCCCUACGGGGCGCAGCAGGUGCGAAAACUCCACAAUGCUCGCAAGAGCGAUGGGGGAACCCCAAGUGCCCUUGUAUUGCAAGGGCUUUUCUCUGGUGUAAGGAGCCAGAGGAAUAAGGGCUGGGUAAGACUGGUGCCAGCCGCCGCGGUAACACCAGCAGCUCGAGUGGUCGCCGUUUUUAUUGGGCCUAAAGCGUCCGUAGCCGGAUGGAUAAGUCUCUAGGUAAAUCUUGCGUCCAAGCGUAAGGCUUCUGGAGAUACUGUCUAUCUUGAGGCCGGGAGAGGUUGGAGGUACUCCCGGGGUAGGGGUAAAAUCCUGUAAUCCUGGGGGGACCACCGGUGGCGAAGGCGUCCAACUGGAACGGCCCUGACGGUGAGGGACGAAACCCAGGGGAGCGAGCCGGAUUAGAUACCCGGGUAGUCCUGGGCGUAAAUUAUGCGGACUAGGUGUGGGGAUAUCCACGAGAUAUCUCUGUGCCGAAGGGAAGCCAUUAAGUCCGCCGCCUGGGGAGUACGGCCGCAAGGCUGAAACUUAA
rnacentral:rRNA from 1 species